GACGAACGCUGGCGGCGUGCUUAACACAUGCAAGUCGAACGGAAAGGCCCUGCUUUUGUGGGGUGCUCGAGUGGCGAACGGGUGAGUAACACGUGAGUAACCUGCCCUUGACUUUGGGAUAACUUCAGGAAACUGGGGCUCAUACCGGAUAGGAGCUACUGCUGCAUGGUGGGGGUUGGAAAGUUUCGGCGGUUGGGGAUGGAAUCGAGGCUUAUCAGCUUGUUGGUGGGGUAGUGGCUUACCAAGGCUUUGACGGGUAGCCGGCCUGAGAGGGUGACCGGCCGCAUUGGGACUGAGAUACGGCCCAGACUCCGACGGGAGGCAGCAGUGGGGAAUAUUGCACAAUGGGCGGAAGCCUGAUGCAGCAACGCCGCGUGCGGGAUGACGGCCUUCGGGAUGUAAACCGCUUUCGCCAGUGACGAAGCGUGAGUGACGGUAAUGGGUAAAGAAGCACCGGCUAACUACGUG
rnacentral:rRNA from 1 species